UACCCAUGGUUCUUGCUUGCUUUCCUGGU
rnacentral:piRNA from 1 species